GAGCAGCCCUCUCCCAUCCCCUCUGGAUCCUAACAUAGAGUCUGGACAUGCCUCCUGGGAAAGACUGAUGGUUUAUCUUAGCCCUUCCCCAGCACAGAGCAGGCCUCCAAAGCUGAGGAUAAGUGAGGGCAUUGAUGGAGACAGGAGGAUGCUUCCCUUCCCAGGGGCAAAGCAAGAGAAGAACUAGGCCAUCCAUCCAUCUAGAACCAACAGACUGUGACCUCAAUGCUUUGCUCUCUACUCUGUUCCUGCAAAGACACAAUUCAUCCUGGUUGUGUGUUUUCUGCUAGCUGCAUCAAAAGAGGUUGGGCAAAGAUAAUAGGGAUUUAUGGUGCCAUAGAUCGCCUUCUUUUUUGUAAUUCUUUGUAUCUGGAAAGGCUCAGCUUCAUGGACAUUUGUCAUAGUAAGAAAACUGGGAGCACGCAAAGUGAAAAAUCCAGAAAAUUCUGAAUGCACACUGACCUCGAUCUCACCUUCCCCAGCUGUAUCUCAAGUGGAUUCUUCGGUUCUGCCCCAGGGAACAAUAUUGCGGACCUGUCAAAUGCUGUGGUUGUGACUAACAACAUUCACUGAUUUACAAGUGUAGGACCUCCAGCUAUCAAAGAGAACUUUAUCCCACUCUGCAGUAAACACCAUAAUAACAGCGCACAUUCAUUAAGCACCUACUGU